UUCCCUAUGUUGCUUCGACCUUUUCUAAAAAGCCAAGAAAGUUACCCAACAAAGUAAAGGACUUCGUCUUAGUCUACUUUCAGGUCAUUGAAGAGUUCGUCCUUUGAGUCAGUGGAUUGUUGCUGGAAGCUGUUCUUAAGGGCUGUCUACCGGCUCCAAGCCGUGUAAGAAAGUGAGUCAGUUCCUGCCUUUCAUUUUGGUCAAGGAAGUGGGCGCUCGUAGCCCUCGAAGGCAAAAAGGUGACCAAUCAGCGCAGUCAUUCCAGGACAUCGAGUCAUCGAAGUCAGAGUCCCCGGCGUAGUUCCUUUUCAAAGAUGAGUCCGAGUGUGAGUCUGUGCGGGCAAUCCAUUUUUUUUCUCCUCACCCUCAACACGAUGCCUUAAAGGUAUUAAAGAGAAUCCAACUAAAGAGGCUUCGGGAUAUUUUCUUUAUUUGUAGAUAGGUCAGGAUCGACCGCCUUGACACCUUAGUAUCAGGAAGACCAACCCUCCUCGUGCGGGAAAGAGGACAACAAGGGCUAGGCCCUCCCUAUCAAACAUUUGUAACUAACUACUGAAGGAAGCGGAUCGAUCGAAAGAGGACUCACUAUAGGUUCGAUCGACUUCUUUCUCUUGAN
rnacentral:lncRNA from 1 species